AUUGAACGCUGGCGGCAGGCUUAACACAUGCAAGUCGAGCGGAGUGAUGGUGCUUGCACUAUCACUUAGCGGCGGACGGGUGAGUAAUGCUUAGGAAUCUGCCUAUUAGUGGGGGACAACAUCUCGAAAGGGAUGCUAAUACCGCAUACGUCCUACGGGAGAAAGCAGGGGAUCACUUGUGACCUUGCGCUAAUAGAUGAGCCUAAGUCGGAUUAGCUAGUUGGUGGGGUAAAGGCCUACCAAGGCGACGAUCUGUAGCGGGUCUGGGAGGAUGAUCCGCCACACGGGGACUGAGACACGGCCCAGACUCCUACGGGAGGCAGCAGUGGGGAAUAUUGGACAAUGGGGGGAACCCUGAUCCAGCCAUGCCGCGUGUGUGAAGAAGGCCUUAUGGUUGUAAAGCACUUUAAGCGAGGAGGAGGCUCUUUUGGUUAAUACCCAAGAUGAGUGGACGUUACUCGCAGAAUAAGCACCGGCUAACUCUGUGCCAGCCGCCGCAGUAAUAC
rnacentral:rRNA from 1 species